UACGGGGGGGCAAGCGUUGUUCGGAAUUACUGGGCGUAAAGGGCGCGUAGGCGGCCUUCUAAGUCGGACGUGAAAUCCCUCGGCUUAACCGAGGAACUGCGUCCGAUACUGAAAGGCUUGAAUCCGGGAGAGGGAUGUGGAAUUCCAGGUGUAGCGGUGAAAUGCGUAGAUAUCUGGAGGAACACCGGUGGCGAAGGCGGCAUCCUGGACCGGCAUUGACGCUGAGGCGCGAAAGCUAGGGGAGCAAACGGG
rnacentral:rRNA from 1 species